rnacentral:rRNA from 1 species
CCUACGGGAGGCUGCAGUGGGGAAUAUUGGACAAUGGGCGAAAGCCUGAUCCAGCCAUGCCGCGUGUGUGAAGAAGGCCUUCGGGUUGUAAAGCACUUUCAGUGGGGAAGAAAGCCUUGGGGCUAAUACCCUCGAGGAAGGACAUCACCCACAGAAGAAGCACCGGCUAACUCCGUGCCAGCAGCCGCGGUAAUACGGAGGGUGCGAGCGUUAAUCGGAAUUACUGGGCGUAAAGCGCGCGUAGGCGGUCUGAUAAGCCGGUUGUGAAAGCCCCGGGCUCAACCUGGGAACGGCAUCCGGAACUGUCAGGCUAGAGUGCAGGAGAGGAAGGUAGAAUUCCCGGUGUAGCGGUGAAAUGCGUAGAGAUCGGGAGGAAUACCAGUGGCGAAGGCGGCCUUCUGGACUGACACUGACGCUGAGGUGCGAAAGCGUGGGUAGCAAACAGGAUGAGAUACCCUUGUAGC